rnacentral:rRNA from 1 species
UACAGAGGUCUCAAGCGUUGUUCGGAUUCAUUGGGCGUAAAGGGUGCGUAGGUGGCGCCGUAAGUCAGGUGUGAAAUUCGGAGCUUAACUCCGAACUGCAUUUGAUACUGCGGUGCUUGAGGACUGGAGAGGAGACUGGAAUUCAUGGUGUAGCAGUGAAAUGCGUAGAGAUCAUGAGGAAGACCAGUGGCGAAGGCGGGUCUCUGGACAGUUCUGACACUGAGGCACGAAGGCCAGGGGAGCAAACGGG